ensembl:lncRNA
AGCACUUUCCCCUUAUAAUCUUUAAAUUAUUAGAAUGAAUUUUAAAAACAUUAUUACUCACAAUUUUCUAAACAAAGAGUGAAAUAAAAGAAAAAUAUUAGAGUAUUUUAAUGGUGCAGCAUUUCCAAUAAUGCAGUAAUUCUGUAAUUGAGGUACAUAAAUGCUAGCUUUCGAAUGAGUCUCAGUGAGACAAAAGAGUUUGCUCCAAAAAAAGGCUUACAUCACAGAAUGAAUAGUGCUUUCAUGAUGGUUCAGGGGGGAAAAAGAAUUGAUGUAAUUUGCAUGGCUUGAAUUUCCCCGGGGCAGGAGCUCACGUCUCCUGGAGAUUAACAUGGAGCAGGUAAACAGUGAGGGAGGGUUAGUUAGCACCAGACGGACAGAAGAGCAGCAUGGAGAGAGACACGCAGAGCUCCAGUACAGCAGCAGACCAUGAGAACGGCUCCAGUCUGUUCCACCGCCGGCUGACGCACCGCAGAGAGCUGAAGUUCCUGUUACACAGGCUGACUGUGAUUGGCCGUCUGUCCUGCGGAGCGGCUGACAGGAGGACUGUGGGAGGUCCGUCUGAGCGUCUCAGAUUUCUGAUUAAAGGGUUUAGAGUGUCAUUACAAUCCAGACCCAGACCUGAAAAGUUCAGUUUUAAAAUAACCUCUGGUGUGUGUUGUGUGUCAGAUCACUACGAGAGGCUGAUUCUCAGUCUGCAGAGGAUCCGAGCGGGUGAAGACGUCACCGGUCUCCUGCUGCUUUACCCUCAACACGUGCUGCUCGUCAUCGAGGUGCUUCAUCUGCAGUCCACAGUGUGUGCAUCAGUUACUCAGCCUCAUGCUUCACUCCCAUGACUUUCUGCCUCUGUGGAACAUAAACAGAACAUUCAUGCAAGUUUUUGCAACUAAAACUGAAACAAAAAUAAAGUAUGGAAGCUUGUUUCUGCCA